UACGUAGGGGGCUAGCGUUGUCCGGAAGCAUUGGGCGUAAAGAGCGUGUAGGCGGCCCGGUAAGUCCGCUGUGAAAGUCGGGGGCUCAACCCUCGAAUGCCGGUGGAUACUGUCGGGCUAGAGUGCGGAAGAGGCGAGUGGAAUUCCUGGUGUAGCGGUGAAAUGCGCAGAUAUCAGGAGGAACACCGAUGGCGAAGGCAGGUCUCUGGGCCGAUACUGACGCUGAGGAGCGAAAGCGUGGGGAGCGAACAGG
rnacentral:rRNA from 1 species